rnacentral:rRNA from 1 species
GAGCGGAUGAAGAGAGCUUGCUCUCUGAUUCAGCGGCGGACGGGUGAGUAAUGCCUAGGAAUCUGCCUGGUAGUGGGGGACAACGUCUCGAAAGGGACGCUAAUACCGCAUACGUCCUACGGGAGAAAGUGGGGGAUCUUCGGACCUCACGCUAUCAGAUGAGCCUAGGUCGGAUUAGCUAGUUGGUGAGGUAAUGGCUCACCAAGGCGACGAUCCGUAACUGGUCUGAGAGGAUGAUCAGUCACACUGGAACUGAGACACGGUCCAGACUCCUACGGGAGGCAGCAGUGGGGAAUAUUGGACAAUGGGCGAAAGCCUGAUCCAGCCAUGCCGCGUGUGUGAAGAAGGUCUUCGGAUUGUAAAGCACUUUAAGUUGGGAGGAAGGGCAUUAACCUAAUACGUUGAUGUUUUGACGUUACCGACAGAAUAAGCACCGGCUAACUCUGUG